rnacentral:rRNA from 1 species
UAACUUUGUGCCAGCAGCCGCGGUAAUACGAAGGGUGCAAGCGUUACUCGGAAUUACUGGGCGUAAAGCGUGCGUAGGUGGUCGUUUAAGUCCGUUGUGAAAGCCCUGGGCUCAACCUGGGAACUGCAGUGGAUACUGGGCGACUAGAGUGUGGUAGAGGGUAGCGGAAUUCUUGGUGUAGCAGUGAAAUGCGUAGAGAUCAGGAGGAACAUCCAUGGCGAAGGCAGCUACCUGGACCAACACUGACACUGAGGCACGAAAGCGUGGGGAGC